rnacentral:lncRNA from 1 species
AUUACAUUUUUAAUGUUUUCUUUAACAUUAAAGCUAUAUAUUUUUUAUUUUUUUGACAACAAUAACUAAACUAUGAUAAAAACCCUAUCGGUCCGGAAAACCAAGUCGGUGGAGUGGAAUCAACAUAAAAACAGCUGAAAGGGAACUUCGAGCACCUCGUGCAAACUUGUCCGCCACUAGAUUAGUUUCUCUUGGUAUAUGUCGAAUCUUGAAGGAAGCGAAGAAACACUUACUGCGUAGAAACUCCUCCAUGUGUGUGUAGCAAAGACUGGUCAUUCGUCUGGUGAGGACAUCAUCUUCACCAAUUGAGAACAGUUUGUUGCAAAAACUACAUCUGAAUAAUCAAGGGUCUUCGUGCACUCCAGAGCCCAUAUCAAAACUUCACAUUUGGCAUGUAAAGCUGAUAAGCUUCUUCGGAGAUUCAUCGCCCCCAUCA